rnacentral:lncRNA from 1 species
CAGCCCUGGAGCUGGGCCCUGGGCAAUCUCACCCACAUUGUGUUGCACUGCAGUGUGCUUUACUACGCCGUUCUGCUGCAAGCCGUGAGGGAGAGGGGCAGGUAGUGGGGAAGCCACCUCUACAGAGGAGUAUAAAGGGUCUUUAAUGGUAGCGGAGCUGACUUACUGACUUGUUAUGUUUCCUUCCACCAUUCAAGUGAUACCAGUGAUAAGCUUUCUGAAGCAGAAGAAGUGCUGAUUGUGAUGGAGGCUGUAAGAGACGCUACUUUGUCAAAAUUUCCUCCUGAAUAUGUCCCAAUUUUUGAAAAUAUUAUAAGUGAUAUGUUUCCUGGAGUGACAGUUUCAAAAGUAAAUCAACUUGCCUUGGAGAAAGCAGUAUAUAGUGCAACAGAACAAUUAGGCUUACAGCAUUGGGCACCUCAGAAAGAAAAGAUCAUACAGUUUCAUAAUCAACUUCAGGCCUGUGUUGGUGUGAUGUUACUGGGCCCAACAGGUGGUGGAAAGACAACAGUCAGAAAAAUUUUGGAGAAGGCAUUAAUACUAUUACCAACUAUCGACAUCUCAGUUACAGGCAGUGAAUCUACCUCAAAGGUAAAUCUUCUACUCAAUAAAUGGUUCUCCACUUCUUUACAUUUUCUGGAGUCUUUUGGAGUUUU